GGCCGGUUAGCUCAGUCGGUUAGAGCGUUGUGCUAAUAACACCAAGGUCAUGGGUUUGAUCCCUGUGUGGGCCA
rfam:Apaloderma vittatum contig74473, whole genome shotgun sequence.